CCCUUAGACGUUCUGGGCCGCACGCGCGCUACACUGACGAAUGCAACGAGCUUAUAACCUUGGCCGAAAGGUCUGGGUAAUCUCCAAAUUUCGUCGUGAUGGGGAUAGAUUAUUGCAAUUAUUAAUCUUCAACGAGGAAUGCCUAGUAAGCGCAAGUCAUCAGCUUGCGUUGAUUACGUCCCUGCCCUUUGUACACACCGCCCGUCGCUCCUACCGAUUGAAUGGUCCGGUGAAGCGUUCGGACCGUGGCCUUUGGACGGUUCGCCGUCUGUUGGCUGCGGGAAGUUCGUUAAACCUUNUNAUUUAUNGGAAGGAGAANUCGUANCA
rnacentral:rRNA from 1 species